rnacentral:lncRNA from 1 species
CCCACUUCCUGCCAACAGGGAACAACUUAUGCUCUAGGGAAAACACUAAUACUGAAGUGAUCUGGACUUUGUGGCUUUGUAGCCUCUGAGGAGAGCAGAGCCAGCAGCUCCCUAGAAGAAAUUUUGCACGGAAAGCAACUAAGGCCGUAAGGGCUUGUGAGAUUUCCCCGUCCCCUCCUAAAGUAGUUCUGGCAGGAUGGGAUUUUUGAUCACAGGCAGCCCAGGGGAAGGGGAAGUAAACAUAAGGCAUGGAUGAGGGUCAGACUGGAAGCUGCUAACACACACCGGCUGUGUGCUCUGUUAACCUGGGACGUGUGACCGGUCAGCCUGAAGGGCAACACAGGUUCUGGCACGAAAGAAUGUGUCCUCUACUGCAUACCUGCAAUCUUGGUCGCUUACCCUCAGUGAGAGAAGUAAACACUAACUUGUAAUAAAAUUGUUUUACACUGCUG